CACUAUGAAGAAACUGCAUCAACUAACAGGCAAAACCAGCUAGCAUCAAAAUGACAGGAUCAAAUUCACACAUACCAAUAUUAACCUUACAUGUAAAUGGGAUGAAUGCCCCAAUGAAAAGACACAGACUGGCAAAUUGGAUAAAAAGUCAAAAACUGU